ACUCUUGAUAUGGGUCAGUUAUUUCCCUUCUCCCGCGCCCAGCCUUGGGCGGCAUUGAUCCUGGUCAAUUUCUCACUGUGCCUGCUGGGCUAACUUAGCUCCAUCGCAACAGGGCAAGUGCAGGAGGCCAGUCAUGUUCUUCGAUAACGUGGUGAUCGCCGGAGUGCUGACAGUCGGCCUCAUGGUGAUGUUCUUCGCCGGUUUUGGAAUUUUUAUCUGGAAAGACUCACAGAAACGGAGGAAACCGUAGAGCUUCCAGGGAACGAGCACGCAAGGCAUUUUGGGCGACUUCGGUCGCCCUUU
rnacentral:sRNA from 1 species